GCUGAAGUUCAGCAAUUACAUAACAAACUUCAGCUCAUAGAAUGCUGAAGUUCGGCAAUUAUAAAACAAACUUCAGCUCCUAGAAUGCUGAAGUUCAGCAAUUACAAAACAAAAACUUCAGCCAAAACAUGUAGUUUUAUUGAGCUGAAGUUUGCCAUUGCACUAUGAACUGAAGUUUGCGUGAUUGCCUUUUGAAGUCAGGCCAAACUUCACGUAAAAAUAUCUGAAGUUUUGCUACACUUCAGACAAAACAUUCUGAAGUUCAAACUUCAGACAUAUAUUCUUGCUACUCCAGGCCCGUAUGUCUGAAGUUAUCCGAAAAGUGGGUAUACUUGCAAUUGUUUUUGCAAAGCGGGUAUAAGUUAAAAGUUGACCCAAAACCUGGAUAUAGAUGCAAAUGCCCCUCAAAACUCGAUUCGCCUAAUGGGCUUUCAACAUUCUCGUCAUUGGUAUUCCUAUUGCAAUUUGCAGUCUCGUAUAAAUUUGUUGAACAUAAUAUAAUAACUAUUAAACUAACAUAUCUGUAGAAGAUAAGUCUCUUUGCUCCUACAAUUCCAACUUUCAUAUGCUUAUGCCUUACAAUAAUCACAAAUGUCGCGAAAAAACAAAUCAUGAUUAUGUUAGAAUGCUUUAAACACGCUCCUAAUUAAUCGAAUCAUCGUGAUUAUGUAUACGUUUACGUGACAUAAUUACAAUUUUCAAAAGUAAAGGCAAGGAAUGCGUUCAUGAACUUUUGCCAAAACAAUAUUAAUAAUAAUAAAGUGUUAUUAAUUGUGUACAUGUACGCGUGACAUGAUUCUUGAUGUGCCAAAUGAAAUGAGUAUACAUACACAACUUGAUUCACGAUGAAACCUAUAAUUAUAACAACUAAGCAAAUUAAAUGCGAAUAGAGGCAAAAAUAUAUAAAAUCCCAAAACACCAAAUAUCUAAAAUUAGGUAAGCCAAGUAAAAUUAUUAAGCGACGGUGCUAGAACAACACAAUUUGGGAGUGUCUUAUGCCUUCUCGUGGGUUAACAGAAUUUCUUACCCAGUCUUCUGUGUUCACGAACCAUAAUUCGGAGUCAAAAUUUUCUUUUAAUUGGGAUUUUUAAAAUGGUGACUUGGAAUACCGAAAUCAAAUAUUUCCAAGUGGCGACUCCUUUAAAAUAAAUAAAUCAAUCCCUUUCAAAUAAUGUCACUUAAAUUGAAAAAUUUUAUUUGCCCAUACCCGAAAAAAGGAGGUGCAACAAUGGGUUAUCAGAAUCUACCCCUUGACUCGGGUUUUUGACCAUGUAGGCCUGGAUUGACUUUUGUUGACUUUUUAAAAAUUGAAUAAAGAUUGUAGCUUUACUAUUUGGAAUUGAUUCAUAUAGAUUUAUUUGAUGUUAUUGAGUUAUUUUUAGCUAGAUUCAAGUUGUUCGUAGACCGAUUUGCGAGGAAAGACAUUUUUGGAGCAUUGAUGUUUGCUUGUUUGAGAUUCCGGAAUUGGACCCAGUCGAGCUCUGUGAGCUGAGUUGAUUGUUAUGCGAUGGAGACCGACGUAGACUUGCUUCCUGAUCGCAGUUCCUGGUGUCUCUUCUUAUUUUCCUUUAUUGUUGUUGUUGUUUCAAAUAGUAUUCUUAUAAUUCAGACUUGUAUUCGUACUAUAGAGCUUGUGACUCAUGUUACCAAUUAUGUGGAGUUGAGUUAUGAUUUGAUAUUAUCUAUAGUUAUUUGUCUUUUA